rnacentral:rRNA from 1 species
UACGUAGGGGGGCGAGCGUUGUCCGGAUUUAUUGGGCGUAAAGAGCGUGUAGGCGGCCAGGUAGGUCUGCUGUGAAAACUCGAGGCUCAACCUCGAGAUGUCGGCUGAAACCAUCUGGCUAGAGUCCGGAAGAGGAGAAUGGAAUUCCCGGUGUAGCGGUGAAAUGCGCAGAUAUCGGGAAGAACACCCGUGGCGAAGGCGGUUCUCUGGGUCGGUACUGACGCUGAGACGCGAAAGCGUGGGGAGCGAACAGG